GAAAUGCGAUAAGUAAUGUGAAUUGCAGAAUUCAGUGAAUCAUCGAAUCUUUGAACGCACCUUGCGCUCCUUGGUAUUCCUUGGAGCAUGCCUGUUUGAGUAUCAUGAAAUCUUCAAAGUGAAUCUUUUGUUAACUCAAUUGGUUUCUACUUUGGUAUUGGAGGUCUUUGCAGCUUCACACCUGCUCCUCUUUGUUCAUUAGCUGGAUCUCAGUGUUAUGCUUGGUUCCACUCGGCGUGAUAAGUUAUCUAUCGCUGAGGACACUGUAAAAGGUGGCCAAGGUAAAUGCAGAUGAACCGCUUCUAAUAGUCCAUUGACUUGGACAAUACUUUUAUGAUCUGACCUCAAAUCAGGUAGGACUACCCGCUGAACUUAAGC
rnacentral:misc_RNA from 1 species